rnacentral:lncRNA from 1 species
AUGGCCUUAAACAGCUUCAGAAGGUCCUACAUCUCUUCCUUUCCCAUGGUUUUAGCUAGACUAUGUGUUUCAUGCUCUCUCUUUAGUGCUUUCCACAAUUUUCAUCUCAGUUUUCGUACUUACAGGCAGAGAGAAACCAGAAAAAGGGGGCAUGGUGAUGUGUGCGACGGUGCUGCUCAUCAUGUGCCUUGUUAUGUUGGUUCUCUUAAUCCUUAAGGAAAUUAUCUUGUGAUCGAUGGCGAUAUUUAAUAUUAUUUCAAUAUUGUGGUCACCUUUCAUGGACUGAUUCUACUUAUUACUGGCUUGGAUAUAGUUAGUAAUGCAGCUUGUCUUAAGAGAGGACCAAGGAGUUUCAAAGUAGCUAAGGCACGUGUUUUGGAUGAAGAGAUCUGAAAUUGAUUCUUUUGCAACUUGUUAAGCCAGAUUGGAGAUAACGGUGGAGGUGUGUUAAG